rnacentral:lncRNA from 13 species
GUUAAGAGCAAUUCUACCAGAAGACACCAUAAUACUUCCAUUGAUCUGGAAGUUGAGGCUGUUACCUGACCAUUUUAAGAUCCUCAUGUCUCUGAGUUCACAGGCAGAGAAGAGAGUUACUGUACUGGCUGGGAUAAUUGGUCCUAAUCAUCAAUGGGAAAUUGAACUGCUACUCUGCAAUGGAGGUAAGGGACACUAUGUUUAGAAUGCAGGAGGCCCUUAGGUCGGCAUCUCCCAGUACUCCCAUGUCCUGUGAUUAAAGCUAAUGGAGAACUGUAACAAACCUGAUAGUGGCCCAGACUCUUCAGAAAUAAGGGUUUGGAUCACUCCCCCAGGCAAACAACGAUGACCAUCUGAGGUGCUUGCUGUUGGAAAAGGGAACAUGGAGUGCCUAGUGGGAGAAGGAAGUUGUAAAUGUCAGCUACUAGUGUGUGACCAAUUGCAGAAUCAAUGACUGCAACCGUUGGCUCUGAUCAGGAUGAGAGAACAAGAUGGAGAGUCAGACUUCCGAGUCCCUAGGUUCUCAGCACUUGACCCUCACAACGUGGCAUUCCUUCAGGCUCUGGCCUGACAAAACCAUGGAGUCCCCAGGAGAACCAGAUGUUCGGUCACUGCUGUAAGAAUGUGAGACUGAGAGGUCUACGAACACUCACUGAAUCUCGACAACCACAAACACCCAAUUCAGGGCACCGGAGCCUCUUCCCCAACCUUAGGGAUGAUAAAACCAAGACUUGGAGAGAGUUUGAGUUACCUGCCCAUGUUCAUAUAGCUGAUUCUGUUCUGGAUUCUGGCUUUGCCAGAAGAAACAGCUGAAUGAUGACAUGGAUCCAUACACAGAGAAAGUGCUCUAUCUGGUAGAAAAGGAGAAACUGCGGAAAGAUUCUCUCUGUGGCCUUACCCCAGCUUCUUUCGAAAGUUGACUAGCUGCCUUAUUACUGCCAUGGCAGCUCUAUGUAAAGCUGAAGCCUGGAAGAUCGCCUCUAUUUUUAUUUUCUGGUCUCUGUUAAUAAGCCCAUGCUGUAUUCAUGAAAGAAAAAUAUUAAAUGUGGCCACACCAGUUAUAAUAUUAUGACUAUUUGGGUUUAAGUAUAAUAAAGAUACCAACAAGGGCUCCUCA